GAGAUGGGGACAGGGAUCAUGGAACCUUAGGAGGCGAGAGGGUCUCUUUUAAGGAUAAACUUAUAAACAUUAAACAUCCUGAAAAGAAAAUUGAAGAAUUUGAGACUAAGGAGGAAGAUGUCCUCCUCAAAACAGAAGAUGGUGUUCCUAUGAUAUCAUUUUCUAAUAGAGUACAUAACUAUAUCUCUCGAUCCAUAAAGAACUGUGCGAUUAU
rnacentral:lncRNA from 1 species